rnacentral:lncRNA from 10 species
CUGCCCCAGCCUCCCGAGUAGCUGGGACUACAGGUGCUCGCCACCACGCCUGGCUAAUUUUUGUAUUAUUAGUAGACAUGGGGUUUCACCAUAUUGGCCAGGCUGGUCUCGAACUUCUGACCUCAUGAUCCGCCUGCCUUGGCCUCCCAAAGUGCUGGGAUUACAGGCGUGAGCCACCGCGCCCGGCCUAUUUAUUUAUUUUUGAGAUGGAGUCUUGCUCCGUCGCCCAGGCUGGAGUGCAGUGGCGGCAAUCUCAGCUCACUGCAACCUCUGCCUCCCAGGUUCAAGCGAUUCUUCUGCCUCAGCCUACCGAGUAGCUGGGACUACAGGCGCAC